rnacentral:lncRNA from 1 species
AGUACUCGUCGUCAGCAAUCGUCCGAUCUUACCCUCAAAAGGUUUCCACGGAUUUUUUUCGGCGACAGUUGGCUUUCCGACAAAAUUAGCAUAUGUUUGUUGAGCAAGACUUUUCUUCUUCUAGUUAUCGAAGAAGAACGGUAAUAUCCUUCCAAUCUAUAUUUUCUGAUGUUUUCUGUUGGUAAUAACUACUGGUGGAUUCCAUUGUCGGAGGGUUAUAAUUG